rnacentral:rRNA from 1 species
UACGGGGGGUGCAAACGUUGCUCGGAAUCAUUGGGCGUAAAGCGCACGUAGGCGGUCCAGUAAGUCGGGGGUGAAAGCCCUCGGCUCAACCGAGGAAGUGCAUUCGAAACUGCUGAACUUGAGUAUGGAAGAGGGUCGCGGAAUUCCCGGUGUAGAGGUGAAAUUCGUAGAUAUCGGGAGGAACACCAGUGGCGAAGGCGGCGACCUGGGCCAAUACUGACGCUGAGGUGCGAAAGCGUGGGGAGCAAACAGG